CGGCUGGAAGAUUGAAAAAACGCGCGCGCGCGCGCGCACGCGCACACACAGAGUGAGCAUCCGCACACCCGGCUCUGCACCCUCAGGCCAGGGGCCAGCCUAGGACAGCGCUCGGAGGCAAAGGAAGAAGGCAGGCUAGCCCGCGCCGGUCGCCCCGUCCGUCCCCCGCCCCUCCUUCCGCUCCCCCCCUGCGCCCCGCCCCCCAUCUCCUCGGGCGGCCCGGGACAGCCCCGGAGAUAGUCGUCCCCGCCCCAGUCGCCUCGCCUCGUCAUUUCCUAUACCUCAGUUUCUGCGGCCCCGCCGUAGCGUCCGCCGUAGCCCCCGCCGUUUCCAUACUGCUGUCGCUGUGUUCUCCCACGGCAAGGUCUCAGCGGAAGCAGCCACCCAGGUCCUCGGUCGCCCACUCCGCGCGGCCACCAACCGGUACCUGCCCAAGACGGAAGGAGACGGCUUUCUUCCCGCAGCUGGUCAGCCAGGCGCCGCGGCCUGAGAAAACAGACCCUCAAAGAGGCCGCCGCAGCCACCGCGGCAGACCUGAGUUUUCCUCCCUCGGCCAGUCAGCCAGGCAUCGCGGGCUGAGAAAAUGUCUCCUCACCGAAGCCGCCCCCCGGAGAUCUUCCACCCCCGGAAACUCGUGCCCCAGCUCCUCGGGGCCUCGCGGGGGCCUUAGCACCGCCCCUUGCCCAGAAUUCAAGGCGUUAAGGCCUAGCUCCGCCCCCUCCCAUCUAAAUUCCAAGGCGACGCCUCUAGGUCCCGCCUCUCUCCGCGGCUCCACCCAUGAGCGCCCCAGACGAAGUUUAAGAAUCCGCUUCCUCUUUGCAAAACCUGCUGGCUCUGGUUCCAAAGGAAUCAGACUAAAUAAAAUACUUCCCAUAUUUGAAGCACAAGUUUGGAGACAACUAUAAACAUUCUAAGGUAUCUAUAAGGAAGUACAACAGUGUUGCAGAUUCCUCAAAAAUAAGUAAAUCAUCUAGAUUUCAUACUGACAAGUUUCUCUCUGUGUUUGUAUAACAAAGUCUUCCAAAACACUGUAUUAAUCAGGAGGUUUAAAUCAGGCACCUGCUGUAUAAAGCACCUCAGCUGACCCUGUGGAACAGCUCUCCAUACACAAAUGCUGCCAGGAGAGAGCUGGUCUCCCAGGAGUGCGGACACACCUGUGAGCACAGGUAAAACCACCAUCUCUGCUCAAAAUUCUGGCCCAAGAGGGACCCACCGAGAGCCCUCAGGACACAGGAACCAAGGAAAAGCUGGGGACACGAUCCUUCCAGUUUCUGCCUACACCCCAGGGCUGAUCCAGUGCCACAGCUCACCAUACCCAAAUUAAUCCUGGAGAGAACUGGUUUCCCAGGACUACUGACACACAGGCUUGCAGGAGGGAUAAGCCACAGUCAGAGACAGCAAUGCCAGCUAACACCAGAGUUAACCAGAUGGUAAAAGGCAAGGGCAAGAACAUAAGCAACAGAAACUAAGGCUACUUGGCUUCAACAGAACCCAGUUCUCCCACCACAGUGAGCCCUGGAUACCCCAACUCACCAGGAAAGCAAGAAUCUGAUCAUCUCCUGAUGAUGAUGAUAGAGGAAGUUAAGAAGGACAUAAAUAAUCCCCUUAAAGAAAUACAGAACAGAAAUAAACAGGUAGAAAACCUUAAAGAGGAAACACAAAAAUCCCUUAAAGUAUUACACGAAAAGACAACCAAACAGGUGAAGGAAUUGAACAAAACCAUUCAGUAUCUAAAAAUAGAAGUAGAAACAAUAAAGAAAUCACAAAGGGUGACAACCCUGGAGACAGGGAACCUAGGAAAGAGAUCCAGAGUAAUAGAUACAAGCAUCACCAACAGAAUACAAGAAGUAAAAGAGAGAAUCUCAGGUGCAGAAGAUACCAUAAAUAACAUUGACACAACAGUCAAAGAAAAUGCAAAAUGCAAAAAGCUCCUAACCCAAAACAUCCAGGAAAUCCAGGACACAAUGAGAAGACCAAACCUAAGGAUAAUAGGUAUAGAAGAGAGUGAAGAAUUUCAACUUAAAGGGCCAGUAAUUAUCUUCAACAAAAUUAUAGAAGAAAACGUCCCUAACCUAAAGAAAGAGAUGCCCAUGAACAUAUAAGAAGCCUACAGAACUCCAAAUAGAUUGGACCAGAAAAGAAAUUCCUCCUGUCAUAUAAUAGUCAAAACAGCAAAUGCACAAAACACAGAAGGAAUAUUAAAAGCAGUAAGGGAAAAAGGUCAAGUAACAUAUAAAGGCAAGCCUAUCAGAAUUACACCAGACUUCUCACCAGAGACUCUGAAAGCUGGAAGAUCCUGGGCAGAUGUCAUACAGACCCUAAGAGAACACAAAUUCCAGCCCAGGCUACUAUACCCAGCAAAACUCUCAUUUACCAUAGAUGGAGAAACGAAGAUUUUUUUCCAUGACACAACCAAAUUUACACAAUAUCUUUCCACAAAUCCAGCCCUACAAAGGAGAUGGAAAACUCCAACACAUGGAGGGAAACUACACCCUAGAACAAGCAAGAACGUAAUCUUCAAACCCAAAAGAAGAUAGCCACACAACCAUAAUUCCACCUCUAACAACAAAAAUAACAGAAAGCAACAAUCACUAUUCCUUAAUAUCUCUUAACACCAAAGGACUCAAUUCCCCCAAUAAAAAGGCAUAGACUAACAGACUGGAGACUCCAGAGAACCAAAUAACCCUAUCAAGAAAUGGGGGCCAGAGCUAACAGGAUUCUCCACUGAGGAAACUCAAACAGCCGAGAAGCACCUAAAGAAAUGUUUAACAUCCUUAGUCAUCAGGGAAAUGCAAAUCAAAACAACCCUGAGAUUCCACCUCACACCAGUCAGAAUGGCUAAGAUCAAAAACUCAGGUGACAACAGCAGAUGCUGGCAAGGAUGUAGAGAAAGAGGAACACUCCUCCAUUGUUGGUGGAAUUGCAAGCUGCUACAACCAAUCUGGAAACCAGUCUGGCAGUUUCUCAGAAAAUUGGGCAUAGUAGAGGACCCAGCUAUACUACUCCUGGCCAUAUAUCCAAAAGGUGCUCCAACAUGUAAUAAGGACACAUACUCCACUAUGUUCAUAGCAGCCUUAUUUAUAAUAGCCAGAAGCUGGAAAAGAACCCAGAUGUCCCACAACAGAGGAAUGGAUACAGAAAAUGUGGUACAUUUACACAAUGGAGUACUACUCAGCUAUUAAAAACAAUGACUUCACAAAAUUCGCAGGCAAAUGGAUGAAUCUAGAAAAUAUCAUCCUGAGUAAGGUAACUCAGUCACAAAAGAACACACAUGGUAUGUAUUUACUGGUAAGUGGAUAUUAGGCAAAGAACAUGGAAUACCCACAAUACAUGGACCACAUGAAACUCAAGAGGAAGGAUGACCAAAGAGUGCAUGCUUCAGUCCUAUUUAGAAGGGAAUAUAAUCAAGGGAAGUAGAGGGUGGGAGGGACUUGGGAGGAAGAGAGGAGGGGGAGGGUGAAAAAGGGUGGCAGAAUCAGGUAUGGGAGGAGAUAGAGGAGAAGUACAGAGGAUCAGGAAAUUGAGCAGAUGUGUGUAGCAAUGGGGGAUGGGGAACUGGGGGUAGCCACCAGAAAGUCCCCGAUGCCAGGAAAGCAAAAGCCUCCCAGGACUCCACGGGGAUGACAUUAGCUGAAAUACCCCACAAAGGGGAGGGAGAACCUGUAGAGACCAUAUGCAGAGGUUAGGCAUGGCCCCCUGGUUGAGGGAUGGGGCCACUUACCCAUCUCCAAAAUUUUAACCCAGAAUUACUCCUGUCUAAAGGAAAUAUAGGAAAAAGAGCAAAACAGAGACUGAAGAAAAGGCCAUCCAGAGAUUACCCCACCUAGGGAUCCAUCCCACAUGCAGACACCAAAACCGGACACUGUUGCUGAUGCCAAGAAGUGCUUGCUGACAGGAGCCUGAUACAGCUGUCUCCUGAGAGGCUCUGCCAGAUCUUGAGCAAUACAGAUGUGGAUGCUAGCAGCCAACCAUCGGACUGAGCACAGGGACCAAAAUGGAGUUAGGGGAAGGACUGAAGGAGCUGAAGGGGUCUUAUCUGCCAUCAAUGUGAGGGGAGGCCCUUGAUCAUGUGAAGGCUUGAUGGCGCAGUGUAGAGGAAUGCUAGGGUGAUGCGGCAGGAGUGGGUGGGGGAACACCCUCAUAGAAGCAGAGUAAGGGGGGAUGGGAUGGGGGUUUGCAGAGGGGAAACCCAGAAAGGGGAGAUAACAUUUGAAAUGUAAACAAAUACAAUAUCCAAUUCAAAAUGAUAAUCUAAUAAAUUUAGGUGAUUAUGGUGCUUAGGGGGAGAGUUAUAUACUAAGUAGUAGAAUCAUUCUUAAUUUUUGAACUGGACAAUUAACAAAAGAAUGAGAUAAAAUUCUGUGACUAUUGCAUUUGGAUAUACACUUAUGUGUGUUUUCAGUAAUAAAAAGUAAUAGUAUAGAAUGUGCAUGGUUUAGCUUCAUACCACCACAAGGGAGGCAUAUGCUGAACACAGAGGCUUUUACAAUUCUAAUUACUCUAAGUCUAUGUGACUAUCAUGUUGGCCAAAGAGCUGGUGUAAUCAUAGCUUGUACUAUAGAAAAUAUAUUCAGGAAAUAUGAUACAAUUUUUAUAUUCCAGCCAAAAAAUAGAACUUCAGCAGCAUGCUUUUCCAGCCCCAACACACACACACACACACACACACACACACACACAUACACACACACACACACACACCUUGGCUAAUAAGCACAUAAAAUCAAUUUUAUAAAAUAUUAAAGGGUACUGAAAAGAUGGUUCCUAAGUUUAGAGCACUUGACGCUCUUAAAGAGGAACCCACAAGAUAGCUAAUAACCAUUUGUAACUCCAGUUACAGGGGAUCCAACAUUGUCUUCUGGUCUUUUUGGGCACCCAGCAUGCAUGUGGUGCACAGACAUACAUGGCAUGCAGGAAAAAUACCCUUAUGCAUAAAAGAAAAAUAUUGCUGGAAAUGCUAUUGUAUUCUAUGUAACAGUGUAUGAACAAUGCAACUAAUAUUAAAAAUAAUUGACUACUAGAUGAUUUGAGAUGUAUUUCUAUAAAUCCAGCGUGAAAUAUUUCUGUCCUCUAGCACUUCAAUCAUUAGAACGUUCUGUAUAUGCUUUGUCCUGGCUACUUUUAUGUCAAUUUGACACAAGCUAGAGUCAUCUGAAAGGAGGGAAACUUGAUUGAGGAAAUGCCUCCAUGAGAUCCAGCUGUAAGGCAUGUUUUUCUUAAUUAGUGAUCAAUAGAGAAGAGUCCAGUCCCUUGUGGGUGAUGUCACCCCUGGUAGUCCCGGGUUCUAUAAGAAAGCAGGGUGAGCAAGCCAGGGCAAGCAAGGCAGUAAUCGGCACCAUCCAUGGUCUCUGCAUGAGCUCCUGCAUCCAAGCCUGCUUGAGUUCCUGCCCUGACAUCCUUCAAUGAUGAGCAGUGUGUGGAAGAGUAAACCAAACAAACCCUCUUUCUCCCCAAGGUUCUUUGCUCAUGGUGCUUCCUCACAGCAGUAAUAACCCUGAGACAUACUCCCUAUACAAUCCCAAACUCUAUGGUAAAGCAUCUGACUUGGAAAAAUGCAAAAGAACUUCUAGAAACAUGUGUGGCUACUCCCAGAAGCCAGACAAAGAGUGGCUUCUGUUUUGCAGUGCUGAGGGCUCCAUGUGGAGGCCUCAUAUAUGCUCGGCCCCGCCGUGGCUGGCUUGACUGCUUUUGACCUGAGCCCACAUCAGCUCUGGGAGCCCCUAGUUCUCAGACCUUAAAGCCAAGAUCAGAACACACACCACUGGCUUUCCAGCUCUCAGGCCUUUGAGGUCACCUCUCGGGGAAACUUCAGGUUGUACGACAGCAAACCAGAAGCCUUCUCAGCUUUCAUAAUCACAGGAGCACAAGACACCUGGCUCAAGAGAAGCCAUUUUAAUUCAUCCCCAUUUCCCCUCCUCCUUCUUCCUUUCUCUCCCCAUUCUUUCUCUCCUCUCCCCUCUUCCCUCUCUCUCUGUCUCUCUGUCUCUGUCUGUCUGUCUCUGUCUAUCUGUCUGUCUGUCUCUCUCUCUCUCUCUCUCUCUCUCUCUCUCUCACACACACACACACACACACACACACACACACACACACACACAUUGGCUCUGUGUCUCUGUUUCUAAACACUUUUCUUGAUUUUUCUUUUUUCUAUUGUUAUUUCUGUGCCAGGACCAGGGCAUUUAGUUCUUGAAGCUUUAUAACUUUUUUUUUAUAACUAAUCACUCCCUUUUUUGCUCUUUUAGAAAUCUCUAUGGCUGUUUAUGCAUAUUUUCUGACUCAGAUUUAUGUCUGGGGGGCUGGAGAGAUGGUUCAGUAGUUAAGGGUGCUUGCUAUUCUUACAGAAGAACCAAGUCUGGUUCCCGGGACCCAUUCUGAGCAACUCAUAACAGCCUCUCGUUCAGGCUCAACUCUAUCUGACAGCCUUUGUCUGACUUCUGGGAGCACCUGGGAGCACCAUCACACAUAUGUGUGCACACAUACACACAGUGAAAAACAGAAUAAAUGUUGAAGAGCUGGUCCAGUGGUUAAGAGCACUUGCUGCAGAGGACCUGAGUUGGGUUCCCAGCAGCCACAUUUAGGCUCUGAAGCAUCCCUAACCCCAGGUGCAGUUUCCUUGGACACUAGGCUCACAUGACGUAUAUUCACAUGCAUGAAGGCAAACAUUCAUGUAAAUAAAAUAAAAAUAAACAGAAUUAAAUGUUAUAACUGUGAUUGAUUUACUUUAAACCCUAUUGGCAUAUUUAUUAGAGGUACAUUAAAUUAUGGAGAAUAAACAGUUCGUGGAAAAUACAAGAAAAACUGACAUCUUUAUGAUGUCUUCCAAGCCAGGAAUAGAGUAUGAAUUUAAUUUAAUUAAGUCAUCUUCAGUAUCCUGGAAGAUUUAAGUUUUAUUGUUAACACUUCUUGUUAAAACUACUUAAAGGUAUUUUAUAGUUUUAUUCUGAUCAUAUCUAGAACUUCCUUCCAUUAUAUCUUUGUAUCAUAUCUCUGACAUAUAUUUGAUAUAUGACUAUAUAUUAAUAUUAUACCCCACCAAUUGCUAAGUUACCUUAUUUUGUGCUAUUUUCUAAACUGUUUUCCUCACUUAGCUUUGUUUUCUGAUCUGAUCAUAUUGGCAAUUUCUAUAACUUAUUUUUGUUUCUGGUUUUUGAGACAGGGAUUAAAGGCAUGUGCCACCACACCCAGCUCUAUAACAUAGUUUUAAGAGAGGGGAGACUUGGUAUAUUGCUCAGCCUACUUUUGAAUAGCUAGACUCAAGUAGUUCUUCUGCCUGAGCCUUAUAAGUAGCUAAGACUAUAGGCAUGCACAACACAUAGCUAAUUCUAGAAUAUAAUUUAAUAUAACAUUUAAUAUGGUAAUAGUUAUUUCCAGUGGGCUUGGUAGAACAUACCUAUAAUCCCAUCAUUUGGGAAGGUGGGAAGAUCAAGACUUCAAAGUCAUCUUUAGCUACACAGUGAGUUGGAGGCCACAUGAGACCAAAAAAAGCACUUCUACAUUAAACACAAUGAUUGGUACUCUGUAUCCUUGGUUUACACAUAAAUAUUAGAAAAAUGCUGUUGGCACUCAGGAGGAAGAAGCAGGAAGACAUUGUAAUCCCAAGGACAGCUUGAUCUAUAUAGUGAAGUCUAAGUCAGCCAGAAAACUGUUCCUAUUAAACAUGUACAGAUAUUUUUCUUGUCAUUAUUCCCUAACCAAUAUAGUAGGAAAAUUAUUUCCAUAGCAUUUACACUGUAGGGCAAUAUAAUCUUAAAAAGUAAUGUAGAUGUGAUUUAAAGUGUAUUGGAAGAUUAUAUAAAGAGUAAUAUAGAUGUGAUUUAAAAUAUAUUAGAAGAUGUAUAAAAUAUAGAUGUGAUUUAAAGAGUUGUGUAGUCUAUAUGCAAAUUUUCAAAUCUUCUGCAAUUCCAGAUAGGGUACUUGAGCAGCUGCAUAUUUUGCAUAUUUGGGGUUCUGGACCAAGUCUUCCACAGCUACCAAUGGAUGACCGUAUUUACUUAAAAAAUACUUAUUUUACUUUUUGUUUAUGAGAAAAAGUGUGUGUGUGUGUGUGUGUGUGUGUGUGUGUGGUCUUUGGAGACCAGAAGAGGGCGUGGGAUCCCCUGGAGCUGAAGUUACAGGUGGCUGUGCACUACGUGACAUGGGUGCUUGGGUGCUUGGGUCUGAACAACUGUCUUCUCUGGAAGAGCAGCAAGUGCAGUAAUUGCUGAGCCACCUCCCUAGCUCCUGUACAAACCUUUGAGUGAAGAUCAUUUGGCCAUGUUAAGGAAGUCUCUAUUCAUCUGUAUUUUAUUUAAAAAUAUUAAGGACAAAAUUGAAGCUGGGUGGUGGUGAUGCACAC